GAUUAAGCUUGGGAUGAAGAUGCUGUCACAACGAAGUACCCUAUUAAAUAUCAUUGGACGAUUAGGUCACCGGGGUACAUCAACAGUUACAAGUAGAAGUACCUGAAGUUCCAGGACCCAAGUGUUAUCCUCUAAUUGGGUCCCUUUUCAACAUGAUCACUGAUAAAGAGAGCUCGUACCAUUAUUUCUUGAAACUCUUCAAAGUACAUGGCCCAAUCGUAAAGGUAAAGUACCCAGGUCAGCCUGUACUGGUGUUGAUCUCCCGGCCUGAAGAUGCUGAGAAAAUUCUAAAACUGACACAAGAUAAUCCAGUGAGAAAUGAAAUGGAAGCCCUCAAGAUGGCCAGAUAUAUUAACCCAUUUUAUGAAAAGAAAGCUGGAAUAGUGACAGAAAAUGGUGAGGAAUGGUGGCGAGUACGAAGCAAAGUCCAGGCACCAGUUUUGAAACCCAAAAAUGUUCAUAAUUAUCUCAAAGAUGUGGAUCAGGUGACACUAGACUUUUUAGACAGAAUUUCCACACUGAGAAAUAGUGAAGGGGAAGUAACUGUAGAUUUCUUAGAAGAAUUAAACAAAUGGUCCUUAGAGUGUAUAUGCCUUGUUGCCUUAAAUCAACGAGUUGGAUGCUUUGAUCCCAACCUGUCUCCUGAUUCAGAGCCAACAUUGAUAAUUAAGGCAGCUAUAGACUUCAUGAAUGCUUUCAAAGAGUGUGAAUCUGGCUUAAAGCUGUGGAAGAUAUUUCCUUCAAAGAUAUUCAGGCAGCUACAAGAUUCCAUGCAAAAACUAACAGAAACCUGUGAAACUGUUGUCCAAAGAAUGGAAAGUGAUAUGCAAAAAAGAGCUCAUGAUCCAGAUUGCCAGCUCAACUUGGUUGAGCAACUUCUACAAGAACCAGGCCUCUCCCAUAAAGAUGUUAUCACUUUUAUGGUGGAUCUUAUUCCGGGUGGUACAAAUACAACCUCUGAUAAUGCUGCUGUACUUCUUUAUCUCUUGGCUAAAAAUCCGAGAGUCCAAACCAAGGUGCAGGAAGAACUAGAUUACGUUUUAGGCAAUGGCUCCGGAAAUGUCACUGCACAUCAACUUGCUCAGCUCUCUUACACUAAAGCUGUUUUGAAGGAAUGCAAUAGACUAAUGCCACCAAUGUUUGGACCCAUGCGAAUCCUUCAAGAGGACAUACUUCUCGGACGAUAUAUUUUACAGAAAGGAUGGUCAGUGCUGCUGAUGAAUGCGUGUUCUGGCUGGGAUGAAAGACAGUUCCCACGAUGCAAUGAAUUUUUACCUGAACGAUGGUUACGGCAUCGACCUUUUGGAAAUAUACAUCCUUGUGCUUCUAUCCCUUUCUCUCAUGGCACUAGAAUGUGUGUAGGUCGACGCAUUGCUGAACAAGAGCUUUACACCUUGAUGGCUAGAACUCUUCACCGAUAUAAUCUUGAAUGGAAACAUGGUGAUAUGGAGAGGACUUUCAUGCAUGUGUUUUCUCCAAAAGGUCCCCUACGGUUUACAUUAACUGAACGUAAACGUAAACAAUGGUCCUCGCCUCAGGCUGCGAUUGGGCUGCGAUUGCUCUCACAGUAGUCCACCGAUUCUUGCAGGAGAAACAACACGCUGGUCAAACCCUAGACCCCAAAACGUUUUGACCGAAUUAUAUGGUACGAGUCAACGUUGAGGUUUU
rnacentral:misc_RNA from 1 species